rnacentral:lncRNA from 1 species
GCUGUCCGCCUUGCCCGACUUGCCCGAGUGCUGUCCACCUCGCUUGACUCGCUCGAGUGCUGUUCGCCUCGCCCAACUCGCCCGAGUGUUGUCCACCUCGCUCGAGGGCUCGGUUGUGUCCUUUUGUUUUGACCGAGGGUAUCUGUGUAAAAUUCCGAGGACUUCUCUGUGUUAAAUUUGAGUACCCCGGUACCGUUAUUCCUUAGGUCUAAGGGUCAGAUCGUAAAUUUUCCCCGAUCUGACUCUUUUAACUUGUUCUAAAUCGACAGAAGCUUGGAAAUUACAUCUUAAAUCGAGGAAAAAUCAGAAAAAUGUGAAAUCACUUGGGUUGGAAUCCUCAUUCUGAGUAGAAUCCAAUAAAGUGGGUUUCGCACCUUUUCCUAUAGUUUUGAUACAGUUUUUGGGUUAAAUCUUUGCAAAUGCUGUUGAAAUCACUAUCUAAGUGUCUCACCCUUGCAUUGCAUUUCGUGUAGAGCUGAACCUCGCAGACGGCACGUACGAGCUGCACCAGGUGCCUAAAGAUGAAGUCGUAGCUGAGCCGCCACAUGCAGGAGUCGAGCCCGUGCACACCGAGGAUCAGUUUGCUACCGCCCCGCUUGAAGGCAAGCCCCAGAGCAUCACCCAGUCUUUUUAAACUUGUGCAUGCCUUCUGUUGUUAUGUGUGUGCAUUUACAUUCCAGGAGUUGUUUGAAACCGUAGAUGCGUGACUUAGUUUUCCCUUUGAUCUGAACACUAGUAUGAUAGGCCGAGUAGUUGCAAUGCUUAAACAGGACUCGGUAAAAGUCGAGUGAUUUCCUGUCACUCGCGAGUUAUAGGAGUUGCUUGUUCUCCUUUUUGUUACAACUAUAAGGACGACGGACGGGGCAGGGCUCUGUGAACUAUUUUGGUGGUCGAUGGAUUGCCCCGUCUGUCUAAUUGAAAUUGGAUUAAGGUCAAAAGGUGAUGGUGUUCGUGAUCAAGUGUUUGAAAGUACUAAUCUCAUACCUAGUAUGGGAUGGGGAAGCCUAGUACCUGAUUGAAGCAGGACGUGAGCGGUUCGAUCCACUGUCUUUGGAAUGAAGUUCCCUUGCGGCCGCAUGUGGUGACAAGUGCGGUCAUAGAACGGCAGAGGCCGGGUCUGUGGAGCCUUGUACCAAGGGAAGUGGGCCCGACACGGGUCUGGGAAUUGAUGGGGACGACCGAUAAAGGAAGCGACCUUCGUGGUGCACGGAUGUCGUGAGAUUAGGUUCGCCAUGCAUGGUUAAGAAGUUCGAAUCGAUUUGUCUGCCUCUCACAAUUUGGGACUAGUUGAUCGCUAUGCUACACUGAGUAAGAAUGGAACUUGAUGGUGAUGUGAAUAUGAACGCUUGUCAUAAAUUGCUUGGAAACUUUUGCUUGUUUAGUAUAGCUGCUAAUUUAGAUUGGUAAAUGAACGUAGAACUUGUGGCUAAAAUAUUGAAAGUAAGAAUCUACUGUAGUCGCUUUUGGCAAAACAAACCCCUCAGCCAAAAAGCCUUGCAUGUCUAGAAGUUGGUGGAUGAAGCGUCCCCACAUAAGUAGAGACUAAAUGUGAUCCCAAUUAUCAAUCCCAGGAGGCUGAUAACACAUUUAUUCAACAGAUAGUUCAGAAACCGUACAGCUCCCGAAGGAGCGGGCGGGCAAGCCACACCCAAAGCAAGACUAAAGCGAUAACAACACAAAUCCAAGUUGUAGUCCAGUCGGACUUCGGGCUGCAAUCGGAGCUAAGCGUCAGCGGAAGCAUCCUGCAAAAGGGCCAACACCACAGGCAGCGUUGGGUGCAGACGCAACAUCCUACUCAAAGUCCUCGGCGACGAAGUCCGGAUCCUCCUCUGGAGUAACAACACAAGGGUGAGUACAAAGGUACUCAGCAAGUCCAACCCCAUCCACGGAGGGGGAUACAACAGAGUAUGCACAAGAAUAAUCAAGGGAAUAAGCUAUGGUUUAUUUGCAGUAAAGCUAAAUUUUUGACACAUGCAGGAUUCCAUUUCAAAGAAGUUUCAUGAAAACAUUUUAAUAAACAAUAUAUAUCAAGUGGGGUUGAUCCUACACAAAGGAUCCAAGUUUUAUCGCUACCGGACUCCCCGUCCGCCGUAGCGCACGGCACAUCUGCCGGACACUUCCAAAAUUCCACGCACCCACACACGCAGUACAAAACCAGUCAUCCCCAAAAGCUAGUUGUGUGACCGAGCCGUAACUCGUCCAAUGCCGUGGACACGGCUACCCGGAUAGGUUUUAACUCUGCAGAGGUUGUACACUUUCCCCACAAGUAGGGUACCGUAUCGCGAUCACCUUAGUGUCGGUACGGAUCCUGACAAAGCCAUUACCCACCUUAGCCAACACUGACUAGUCCACACAAGAGCGCUCAAGGGGUUAGCAACCCAUCCACGGGGCCGUAACCGGGACCUAAGUCACCAAGAGCUUAGUCCUUUUCCAAGGCCUCCUGUUGCUCACCAGCACACCUGAUGCCUAGCAGUUUAGCUAGUGGGGUUUAUGCUAAGCCGUUGCCCAUACAACGGUCGAGUGGUUGUACGAUGAUGGAAUUAGGCAGGAUGACACAUCAACUCGGUCCUUAGUCAUGACAAGAUGGAUAUCUCCCACACUGCUCAACCACUGAGGUACGAGCCUAUCAACCCGGCGUUCCACACAAGAAACACCCAUCCAUCUCAUCCACCACCUCUCUUAACACCCGAAAACCCAACUCCUCAAUUAAACAUACUCACACAUUAAUUUUCGAGUAAUCAAGUGUAGUCAAGUUGAGUUUGGAUAAUGAGUUCCUAAGCGUUCUAGCAGUAUUUAUCAUCUAAACAGAGCAACUCAUAUUUAGAGAUAAAUAUGGGACAAUCAAGGAAUAGUCAUAACAAUCAAGGGGUGGCUAUCCAACCAUGUCUUGCGAUAAAACAAUAUGCAUGUUAUAAAACAGGCCAAUAGGUUGUGUCUGAAAAAUUGGGUAUUAAAUAUGCAUCAAAGGGUGAGAUUGGACUUGCCGUUCUCAAAGCCUUCCGGGAGCUCCUGCUCGCGGUACUGGUCCUCAGGCUCGGGCUCGCGGUCGAACUCCUCCUCGCGCUCCUCCUCGGGUACUCCGCGAUCUACGGCACACACAAACGAGCACACAAUAAAUAAAAAGGAAAAAGGGUUUUACCCGAUGAGCUCCGAACAGGAAACAUGAACGGAAAAUAGGUAGGAAGGGUAUUUUCGUGGGAUUUCGAUAUGCCUCGGCAGAAAUAUAUGAGAGGAGGCCGUGGUCGAGUUUGGGGUUAAUCGGAGGAGGUUUGGCGCAUGAAAUGACGGGUUAAAGGAGUAUUAGGAGCUUUAAAACGGGGUUUAGGACUGAACCGUGAGAGUAGGGGCCUAUCUGUAAUUAUUUUUGGAAUGGUGGAAGGACUGGUUCGCGAAUCAGGAAAAUUUGUGGGUUGGGUCGCGAGGAGAGGGAUUUACCCCUUCUUCUUCCUGGAGACAAUCAGGAGCUUGAGAGGAAGAUGGUCGUCGGCGUUCUGGUGGUGGGAGUGGAGGAAGGCAAGGUGCUCGUGGUGAGGGUGUGGAGGUGAAGGCUCGGCUCCCUCCUUUUAUAGGCGGCGCGCGGGCGGGCGAGGGCCGAGGUAAUGAUGGCGGCCGGACUUUUGACCGGUGGCGUGCCGGAGUGGUGGAGCUCGUGGAUGGCGUGGCGGCGUGGUCGACGAGGCCACAGGGGCGGCGACCGGUGACCGGCGACACGACGCGACGCACCGAGCCAAGCGCUAAACGCCAAGGCGUGAGCGGGCGCGGUACGGGCGACGUGACGCGGUGCGGGCGCGGCGCGGCACGGGCUCGGCGCGGCGGCGGCGCGGCGGCGGCGCGGCGGCGGCGCGGCGGCGCGACGGGCGCGACGCGGCGCGGCGCGGGCGCGCGCGCGGGCGCGGGCACGCGGCCCGGCGCGGCGCGGCCCGGCGCGGCGCUGCCCAGCGCGCGUGCGCGCCUCGGCGCGCGUGCCGCGUGGGGAGGGGCACCUGGCGCCUGGCGCAAGUGGGGGGCUGCUAGGGGAGUAAAAGAAGAGAGAGAAGAAAAGGAAAAGGGAGGGGAGGAAGAAAGAGAAGGAAAAAGAGAAGGGAAAGAAAGGGGAGGAAAAAGAAAGAAGAAAGGGAAAGAGAGGGAAGGGAGGGGAAAAAGAUGGCGGAAAUUUCGGGAUUCGACUGCGCGUGGUGACGGAUUUGACGGGCACGCGGCGAAAAAUACGGGGAGUGGAAAUUGGAGAAUUGACGGGCCGGGGCCAGGACGGCGGGUCCGACGGAAGAGAAAGGACUUGACGGAGCUCGGCGGGCGGAAAAAAUUUUUGGAGAGCGUUUUUAGCGGGUGAUUUAACUGGGUGUAUUUUACGGGCGUUACAAACCUACCCCACUUAAAUUGAAUCUCGCCCUCGAGAUUCGGCUGAGUCCUGAACAGAUGGGGGAAUUCCUUCUUCAGCGCAUCCUCGCGUUCCCAAGUGGCUUCUUCCUCACCAUGCCUACUCCAUUGAACUCUGCAAAUCCGUACCGCUGAAUUCCUUGUCCUUCUGGUGACUGUGUCCAGAAUCUUGACGGGUACCUCCUGAUAUCGCAGAUCUUUCUACAAAUCUAUGGUUUCCACCGGUACUUGCUCUUCUGGUACUCUCAGGCAUUUUCUCAGCUGGGAUACAUGAAACACCGGGUGGAUAUCCGACAUUUCUUCGGGCAACUGGAUACGGUAGGCUACCGCUCCAAUUCUCUUUAGCACCUUGUAUGGUCCGAUAUACCGAGGGGCCAGCUUUCCUUGCACUUGGAACCUUCGGGUACCUCAGAUCGGAGAGACCUUAAGGUACACGAAGUCCCCCUCACUGAAACUCAACUCUCGUCUCCUCUUAUCCGAGUAGCUCUUUUGUCUAGACUGUGCUGCUUUCAACUUCUCUCGUAUUUCAGCUACUCGCUCUUCUGCUUCCUUAAUAAAGGCAGGUCCUACCAGGGUGCGCUCCCCCACUUCUGACCACAUCAACGGGGUCCUGCACUUUCUUCCAUAGAGAGCCUCAAACGGUGACAUGCCUAAGCUGGCUUGGUAACUGUUGUUGUAUGAGAACUCUGCAUAUGGUAGACUCUGCUCCCAAUCCUUGCCAUAAGUAAGGACACAUGCCCUCAACAUGUCUUCCAUGAUCUGAUUUACUCUCUCUGUUUGACCAUCGGUCUGGGGGUGGUAGGCUGAACUAAAGUCCAGUUUGGUGCCCAUAGCCUUAUGAAGACUCUUCCAGAAUCUAGAGGUAAACUGGGUCCCUCUAUCCGAAACAAUUCUGCUAGGUACACCAUGCAACUUCACUAUGUUGUCCACAUAGAGUCGAGCUAGCUUCUCUCCCCCAUAGGUGGUCCGUACAGGCAAGUAGUGGGCAACCUUAGUGAGUCGGUCCACUAUCACCCAUAUGGAGUCAUUCCCUUUCUGAGUCCUGGGCAAUCCCACUACAAAAUCCAUGCCAAUCUCAUCCCACUUCCAAACUGGAAUGGGUAAUGGUUGCAGUAACCCGGCUGGCUUCUGAUGUUCGGCCUUAACCCUUUGGCAAGUAUCGCAUUGAGCGACGAACUGGGCUAUGUCCGCCUUCAUCCCGUUCCACCAGUACUUCUGCUUUAAGUCCAUGUACAUCUUGGUGGAUCCCGGGUGGAUGGAAUAUGCUGAGUUAUGGGCCUCAUCCAUGAUGGUUUGCCGGAAUUCACCUUCCUUGGGUACACAAAUCCUAUCCUUGUACCACAAGGUUCCCUUUUCAUCCACUCUGAAGUCUGGGGCUUUGUUUUCUCCGAUUUGCCUGCGAAUCCUUACCAGGUCCGGGUCCGAGCCUUGGGCCUCUCGGAUUCUUUCUUCCAGGGUGGGCUGUACCCUUAGCUUGCGGCUGGUAUUCUGAGGAAUGAUGUGCACAUUUAACCGGGCCAUUUCCUCCUGUAAGUGGGGGUCCUUAGGUCCUAUCUGUCCAUAGGAUUUCCUGCUUAAUGCAUCCGCUACCACAUUGGCCUUACCGGGGUGGUAGUGAAUUUCCAGAUUAUAGUCCUUGACCAAUUCUAACCAUCUUCUUUGCCUUAGAUUCAGAUCUGGUUGGGUGAAGAUGUAUUUUAGGCUCUUGUGGUCGGUGUAAAUCUCACACUUAUUCCCGAUCAAGUAAUGUCUCCAGAUCUUGAGGGCAUACACUACGGCUGCAAAUUCCAAGUCAUGGGUGGGGUAAUUUUGUUCAUGGGGCUUAAGUUGACGGGAGGCAUAAGCCACUACCUUUCCAUCCUGCAUCAGGACACACCCUAACCCUUGGCGAGAAGCGUCACAAUAAAUGACGAAGUCCCGCUGGAUAUCCGGUAGGGUUAACACUGGGGCGGUCGUUAAUUUUCUCUUCAGUUCCUGAAAACUCCUCUCACAUGCCUCGGUCCAAUUGAAUUUCUUGUCCUUUCUGAGUAGCUCUGUCAUAGGUCGGGCUAUCUUGGAAAAUCCUUCAAUGAACCUCCGAUAGUACCCAGCUAAACCAAGAAAACUCCUGAUUUCACUAACAUUGGUGGGUUGCUGCCAGUUGGAGACGGCUUCCACCUUCUCGGGGUCGACUGCUACUCCUUCUGCAGUCAAGAUGUGACCAAGAAAUGCCACCUUCUCUAGCCAAAAUUCACAUUUACUGAAUUUAGCAUAAAGUCGGUGGGCUCUCAAUUUCUCCAGUACUACUCGCAGAUGUUGCUCAUGUUCUUGGAUACUCUUGGAGUAAAUAAGUAUGUCGUCGAUGAAGACCACGACAAACUUGUCUAACUCCUCCAUAAACACCUUGUUCAUGAGAUUCAUGAAAUAAGCAGGGGCAUUGGUCAGUCCAAAGGACAUCACUGUGAAUUCAAACUGGCCAUACCGGGUAACAAAAGCUGUCUUCGGGAUAUCACUUUCCUUAAUCUUGAGCUGGUGGUACCCUGAUCUCAAAUCUAUUUUGGAGAAGUACUUGGCUCCUUUUAGCUGGUCAAAUAGGUCAUCUAUUCUGGGAAGGGGUUACUUAUUCUUGAUGGUGACCUCAUUUAGUGCGCGAUAAUCCACGCACAUCCUCAUGCUUCCAUCUUUCUUCUUGACAAAUAGCACAGGGGCUCCCCACGGGGAUGAGCUAGGUCUGAUAAAGCCACUCUGCUGUAGUUCACCUAACUGUUUCUUCAGCUCUGCUAACUCAGAUGCUGCCAUUCUAUAGGGCCUCUUGGCUAUAGGGGAGGUUCCGGGGAUAAGGUCGAUCACAAACUCUAUAUCCCUAUCUGGGGGCAUUCCAGGUAGUUCCUCAGGAAAAACAUCCGGGUAUUCACUCACUACCGGGACUCCUUCUAUGACUUUGGCUUCCAUGCUAAAAACCAUUGGGUCAGGCCCACUUCCCCGGGUGUGGCAGAUUACUUGUACGCCAUCCUGAUUAGUUAGGCGUACUACCUUAUCAGCACAUCCUAUGUGUCCAUCAUGUAGGCUUAACCAAUCCAUUCCAAGGAUCACAUCUAUUCCUUUAGACUUAAGUACUACUAGAUCUGCUAGGAACUCUACCCCACUUAAAUUGAUCCUUACCCGGGAACAACCUAGUCGACACUGGAUGUCGGCUCCAGGCGUCCGGGUUAUUAGGGGUACCUUUAGUAGUACUGUAGGUAUGUGGUACUUAUCCACAAAGCUUGAUGAUAUAAAUGAAUGUGAUGCUCCAGAAUCGAAGAGUACUGUUGCCAAUACUGAGCUGACUAGAAACUCACCGAGUACAACGCCCUGAGCUUCCUGAGCCUCUUGCGCGCUGAUGUGGUUGACGCGGGCGCGUCCAAACGACUGCUGGGACUGCCUCAUCUGCUGGCUGUUGUUGUUGUUGUUGUUGUUGCCAGGGUUGUUGCUGCGGACGGGAACACAAUUGGCUCCUGACACUGCUGCCCUUGGCCCAGUCACUGCGUUGGAGAAGGCUGAUGCGGCUGGCUUGUUGGCGUAGGGGCAGUUGGCAAUGAAGUGCCCUGGCUCCCGGCAGUUGAAGCAUGCCCUGCCGUUGUUGGUGACCUGACUGGCGCUGUUCUGUGGGGCCUUGAUAGGGUUCUGGCUUCUGAAUGGGGCAUUGGUCUGAUGGGAACCGGAGGCUUGAGACUGGGUCCGGUACUGCAUGGGAGCUUGGGACCUGGGCAUGGGGUAACCAAAGCUUCUUGGUUUCUGGAACCUAUCCUGCUGGUGGGUCUUGCUGUCCAGGAACCGGCGCUUGUUGUCCCUCCUUUCAUCUGCCUUGGCUCUCUCAGUCAGAAUGGCCAUGUUCAUCAGGGUGUUGAAGUCAGGGUAAAUCUGAGGGGUGAGCAGGGUCCUCAGUUCUGCGUUCAAGCCCUUCUUGAACAUGUCUUGCUUCUUCUCAUCCUUGUCUACUUCUUCUGGAGCAUAGCGGGCCAACUCCAUGAACUGAUAGGUGUACUCUUCCACUGACUUGUUGCCCUGGCGCAGUUCACGGAAUUCAUCCGCCUUGCGCUUCAUGGUAGCCGCAGGAAUGUGAUAGCGGCGGAAUUCUGUCACAAACUCAUCCCAGGUGAUAGUGGAGGCAUCCUGGGCGGCCGUGCAGUAGUUCUCCCACCAAGCUAAGGCAGUCCCAGUGAGCUGGUGUGCAGCCAGGAGAACUUUGUCCCUGCUCUCACAGCCGAAUGGUUCUAGCUUCCUCUUAAUGACCCGCAGCCAGUCAUCUGCGUCCAGGGGGUUGAUGGACCCGCCAAAAGUGGGUGGCUUGGUGCGGAGGAAGUCUGUCAGCUUCUCAUUCAUACCCUGUCCGCGGGGCCUCUGGCGAGUGAUGGCAUUGGCCAAGGCUUCCAGCAGAAGGGUCUGGUUGUUCAUGACUUGUACCAGGUCAAUGACCGGUGGGGGCGGUGGCUCCUGUGCUCCCACUUGACUCUCUCCCCUGCCCUCGGGCUGAUUCACCUCCUGCUCCUCAUGGUGUACUAUUGGUGGUGGUCCCUGCCUUUCCUGUUGUCUGUCUGCACUGGGAGUGGCACGUGCUUGACUCGGGGAGGUCCUGGUGGCACGCUUGGGAGGCAUCUGCAGAUUGAGCGAACUUUCAUGAGACUUGGAUUUGGAUAUUAAGGUGAUGUUUGGUUAAUUAUUUCGAAUUUUCGAAGAGACAGAAUCCACCUCCUGUCGACAAGCACACAGACUAACAAACAACAAGCACAAAUGAUUUUAUUAUUUUGCCGGGGCGGUUACAACACUUGGGGUAGGGCCAAAACACGUGCUACACGACCGGUACAACGGCACAACUGGGGGGUACAAGUCUAGACUCGGGACAGCUUCUGGAGUACAACUCUGGACCACGGACCAUGACGACUCCACUCCCUCGGGCAAACUCUGGGCUGGGCACUCUACUCGCGGGACGAAUCUGCACACUGCGCGGAGUGGUCUUCUGGCGGAAUCAGGAGGGCCAGCACCUCAUCUCUCAAGGUCCCACCUGCGGGAGGGAGCUCAUUGGCCACCUCAGAGUCCCUUUCCGAAGGCGGUGGUGCUGGUGUGGCAUCGGGGCUCUUCCGCUUCCCGGACCCCUGGGCAACAGGGACUCCAUCCAAUACUGGGGCCUCGUCAUCCUCCACGAUCCGCAUCUUCCUCCGUGUGCGGUCCGAGCGGUGGGCUUCCUUCAGGGCCUGCGCGUGCCGGUCCUCGACCUCUUUGAGGGCCUCGAUGGCGAGGGCCUCAUUGCUUUGGGCGGCCGCGGCUCGGGCCUCAGCUGCUGCCAAUCUCACCUGGAGCCUCCUCACCAUAAUCUCGGCGUCCUCGGCUCUGCGGAUCUGCUGCUUCAAAUGAGCGGCCUGCUCAUCGCAGAGUUCAUCCAAGGUGAGGAGGUAGGCAGCCAUAUGGAGCACGGUGGGGUCAUCCUCGCGCUGUCCACGUCCUUCCAAAGUCCUCACCCGGGCCAGCCAAACCGGGCGGUUCUUCUUGACAGGCGGGUAGAACCUCAUCGGUGUGCGUCCGAUGUGCCGCUCAUAGAUCUGGCACAGGUAGCGCAGGGCUUUCCGAGCUGCUGCCUGGUAAGUGUCUUUCCGCCGGAAACCAGUGGCAGACACAUUCCAAGGCUGAAUGUCGGGGAAGCGGCUGCUCCUGCCCACAAAGAUGGUCAUCUCGCACCGGAGAGUCCCACGGUCCUCAUACUCCCUGCUGGAGUACUCUGGGCGCUCGUAAAUUCCGAGGCGGUCCAUGCAGGCGAACAGCAACCUGGGAAAACCGGGCUCCUCCAGGCAGUGGCUGUUGGUCCAUCCUUCUUCGGCCAUCUGGAAAGAAUCGGGGUGUAAAUCAGUUUUGCAAUUGAGCAGGGGUAGCAAGAAAUUUUGUAAAUCAUUUAAUUUGGUCAAAAAGGCUUUUCCGGUCCUAAUGGUUACAUCCUACGGCCAACGACGGCUCUGAUACCACCUGAAGCGUCCCCACAUAAGUAGAGACUAAAUGUGAUCCCAAUUAUCAGUCCCAGGAGGCUGAUAACACAUUUAUUCAACAGAUAGUUCAGAAACCGUACAGCUCCCGAAGGAGCGGGCGGGCAAGCCACACCCAAAGCAAGACUAAAGCGAUAACAACACAAAUCCAAGUUGCAAUCCAGUCGGACUCCGGGCUGCAAUCGGAGCUAAGCGUCAGCGGAAGCAUCCUGCAAAAGGGCCAACACCACAGGCAGCGUUGGGUGCAGACGCAACCUCCUACUCGAAGUCCUCGGCGACGAAGUCCGGAUCCUCCUCUGGAGUAACAACACAAGGGUGAGUACAAAGGUACUCAGCAAGUCCAACCCCAUCCACGGAGGGGGAUACAACAGAGUAUGCACAAGAAUAAUCAAGGGAAUAAGCUAUGGUUUAUUUGCAGUAAAGCUAAAUUUUUGACACAUGCAGGAUUCCAUUUCAAAGAAGUUUCAUGAAAACAUUUUAAUAAACAAUAUAUAUCAAGUGGGGUUGAUCCUACACAAAGGAUCCAAGUUUUAUCGCUACCCGGACUCCCCGUCCGCCGUAGCGCACGGCACAUCUGCCGGACACUUCCAAAAUUCCACGCACCCACACACGCAGUACAAAACCAGUCAUCCCCAAAAGCUAGUUGUGUGACCGAGCCGUAACUCGUCCAAUGCCGUGGACACGGCUACCCGGAUAGGUUUUAACUCUGCAGAGGUUGUACACUUUCCCCACAAGUAGGGUACCGUAUCGCGAUCACCUUAGUGUCGGUACGGAUCCUGACAAAGCCAUUACCCACCUUAGCCAACACUGACUAGUCCACACAAGAGCGCUCAAGGGGUUAGCAACCCAUCCACGGGGCCGUAACCGGGACCUAAGUCACCAAGAGCUUAGUCCUUUUCCAAGGCCUCCUGUUGCUCACCAGCACACCUGAAGCCUAGCAGUUUAGCUAGUGGGGUUUAUGCUAAGCCGUUGCCCAUACAACGGUCGAGUGGUUGUACAAUGAUGGAAUUAGGCAGGAUGACACAUCAACUCGGUCCUUAGUCAUGACAAGAUGGAUAUCUCCCACACUGCUAAACCACUGAGGUACGAGCCUAUCAACCCGGCGUUCCACACAAGAAACACCCAUCCAUCUCAUCCACCACCUCUCUUAACACCCGAAAACCCAACUCCUCAAUUAAACAUACUCACACAUUAAUUUUCGAGUAAUCAAGUGUAGUCAAGUUGAGUUUGGAUAAUGAGUUCCUAAGCGUUCUAGCAGUAUUUAUCAUCUAAACAGAGCAACUCAUAUUUAGAGAUAAAUAUGGGACAAUCAAGGAAUAGUCAUAACAAUCAAGGGGUGGCUAUCCAACCAUGUCUUGCGAUAAAACAAUAUGCAUGUUAUAAAACAGGCCAAUAGGUUGUGUCUGAAAAACUGGGUAUUAAAUAUGCAUCAAAGGGUGAGAUUGGACUUGCCGUUCUCAAAGCCUUCCGGGAGCUCCUGCUCGCGGUACUGGUCCUCGGGCUCGGGCUCGCGGUCGAACUCCUCCUCGCGCUCCUCCUCGGGUACUCCGUGAUCUACGGCACACACAAACGAGCACACAAUAAAUAAAAAGGAAAAAGGGUUUUACCCGAUGAGCUCCGAACAGGAAACAUGAACGGAAAAUAGGUAGGAAGGGUAUUUUCGUGGGAUUUCGAUAUGCCUCGGCAGAAAUAUAUGAGAGGAGGCCGUGGUCGAGUUUGGGGUUAAUCGGAGGAGGUUUGGCGCAUGAAAUGACGGGUUAAAGGAGUAUUAGGAGCUUUAAAACGGGGUUUAGGACUGAACCGUGAGAGUAGGGGCCUAUCUGUAAUUAUUUUUGGAAUGGUGGAAGGACUGGUUCGCGAAUCAGGGAAAUUUGUGGGUUGGGUCGCGAGGAGAGGGAUUUACCCCUUCUUCUUUCUGGAGACAAUCAGGAGCUUGAGAGGAAGAUGGUCGUCGGCGUUCUGGUGGUGGGAGUGGAGGAAGGCAAGGUGCUCGUGGUGAGGGUGUGGAGGUGAAGGCUCGGCUCCCUCCUUUUAUAGGCGGCGCGCGGGCGGGCGAGGGCCGAGGUAAUGAUGGCGGCCGGACUUUUGACCGGUGGCGUGCCGGAGUGGUGGAGCUCGUGGAUGGCGUGGCGGCGUGGUCGACGAGGCCACAGGGGCGGCGACCGGUGAC